GAAAUGCGAUACUUGGUGUGAAUUGCAGAAUUCAGUGAAUCAUCGAAUCUUUGAACGCAUAUUGCGCUCUCUGGUAUUCCGGAGAGCAUGCUUGUUUGAGUAUCAGUAAACACCUCAACUCCUCUCUUCUCUUUUGAAAAUGGGAGUUGGACUUGAGUAAUCCCAACGCUUUUCUCACCGAACAGUGGCGGGUUACUUGAAAUGCAGGUGCAGCUGGACUAUUUCUCUGAGCUAAAAGCAUAUCUAUUUAGUCUGCCUAAAAAACAGAUUAUUACCUUUGCUGCAGCUAACAUAAAGGAGAUUAGUUCUUGUGCUGACUGAUGCAGGAUUCACAGAGACGGCUUUGGCUGGCUUUGUAAACUCGAUCUCAAAUCAAGUAAGACUACCCGCUGAACUUAA
rnacentral:misc_RNA from 1 species